GAGNNUUGGUCAAUGNCCGAANGCUGACCAGCAACGCCGCGUGAGGGAUGAAGGUCUAAGGAUUGUAAACCUCUGUUAGGAGGGACGAAUUGUUCCGUAACGAACUUACGGGAUUUGACGGUACCUCCAGAGAAAGCCCCGGCUAACUCCGUGCCAGCAGCCGCGGUAAUACNGGGGGGGGCAAGCGUUGUCCGGAAUUAUUGGGUGUAAAGGGUGCGUAGGCGGAAUGGUAAGUCAGAAGUGAAAUACUCGCGCUUAACGCGGGUUCUGCUUUUGAUACUGCUGUUCUUGAGUGCAGAAAAGGGAAGUAGAAUUCUCGGUGUAGCNGGUGAAAUGCGUAGAUAUCGAGAAGAAUACCAGUAGCGAAGGCGGCUUCCUGGUCUGUAACUGACGCUGAGGCACGAAAGUGUGGGUAGCAGACAGGAUUAGAUACCCUGGUAGUCCACACUGUAAACGAUGGACACUAGAUGUCGGACCGCAAGGUUCGGUGUCGCAGCUAACGCAUUAAGUGUCCCACCUGGGAAGUACGGCCGCAAGGUUGAAACUCAAAAAAAUUGACGGA
rnacentral:rRNA from 1 species